UGGAUGAUGUGGAUUAAUUCGAUGCAACGCGAAGAACCUUACCUACCCUUGACAUGUCCGGAACUUGCCAGAGAUGGCUUGGUGCCCGAAAGGGAAUCGGAACACAGGUGCUGCAUGGCUGUCGUCAGCUCGUGUCGUGAGAUGUUGGGUUAAGUCCCGCAACGAGCGCAACCCUUGUCAUUAGUUGCCAUCAUUUAGUUGGGCACUCUAAUGAGACUGCCGGUGACAAACCGGAGGAAGGUGGGGAUGACGUCAAGCCCUCAUGGCCCUUAUGGGUAGGGCUUCACACGUCAUACAAUGGUCGGUACAGAGGGUUGCCAAGCCGCGAGGUGGAGCCAAUCCCUUAAAGCCGAUCGUAGUCCGGAUCGCAGUCUGCAACUCGACUGCGUGAAGUCGGAAUCGCUAGUAAUCGUGGAUCAGCAUGUCACGGUGAAUACGUUCCCGGGUCUU
rnacentral:rRNA from 1 species